AAGUUUGAAACAAAAAAUUGUAAUCAGUUUCGACCUGAUAUUUAAGUUAAAUUUUAACUCUAACUUA
rnacentral:tRNA from 1 species